GUAGGUGGCAAGCGUUGUCCGGAAUUAUUGGGCGUAAAGCGCGCGCAGGGCGGUCCUUUAAGUCUGAUGUGAAAGCCCGCGGCUCAACCGUGGAGGGUCAUUGGAAACUGGGGGACUUGAGUACAGAAGAGGAAAGCGGAAUUCCAAGUGUAGCGGUGAAAUGCGUAGAGAUUUGGAGGAACACCAGUGGCGAAGGCGGCUUUCUGGUCUGUAACUGACGCUGAGGCGCGAAAGCGUGGGGAGCAAACAGGAUUAGAUACCCUGGUAGUCCACGCCGUAAACGAUGAGUGCUAAGUGUUAGGGGGUUUCCGCCCCUUAGUGCUGCAGCUAACGCAUUAAGCACUCCACCUGGGGAGUACGGCCGCAAAGGCUG
rnacentral:rRNA from 1 species